ACAAGCAACCAACUGUCGCUGAGUGACCGUUAGUAGUACUGCUCUGUCACUGGUCAGGGCUGCAGUGUGACGAACUGUCGGUGAGGAAGGAUUAGUGAAGCGAUUCAGCCAACGGCCGUCAGGCGGAGAAUGAGGUACUGAUUAGAAAUAAACUUUACUCAUAAAGGGAAGUACGGACUGGUAAAAUCUGGUGGAAGCACUUCACCUUUUGUGUACUCAUUUCAACUCAGAUAAAGAAAAUGAAGCAGAAAAGAGUCCAAUGCUCAUGACUGAGUUUGAACUCAGUAAUUUCUGCCUAUAAAACUGGCCCCCCUAAAAGACAGCCUCUCCAAUGAAGUAGGUGUGACCUCUGGGAUUGAGUGACCUCUGACCAUUUUGGGACCUAAAUCUGCACUUCAUUUUGGUCAGAAAAUUUGAUUUAAGGCAUAAACAGUCCACCUUUAGUGAUUAAUAAUCCAUUAGCAGGUUUAAAAGGAAGAAGCAUGAAGGAACACAGUCCUCAUCAGCUGGAGACCAUGACAAUCUGUGACAUACAGACUCCUCUUCCUGCUACAUGUCUGCAUUCAGUCCAUCAGGGUCAACCAGUGCACCAGCCCUGAGUGCCCUGUCUCAUGCAUCGAACCUGGAUACCUUUUAGCUGGCAUUUUGGUCCGCUGAAUCCAGGACAGCACUUCCAUUCUAAUGAGGCCACACAUGAUUAUGAUAUAAGCAGUGGGUAUUUUCAAGAAACUUUACACACCUUUGAGGACAGGAUCCACUGGUCCAGCCACAGGGCCCUCUGCCACUUGGAACAUAAGUGACAUGGUUGUCCAGUACCACUGUUGGAGAUAAUCUGAGACAGCACUGGGCAUAUGCAAGACAGGAACCCUUAUCUCCAGAAUAACUGCAGGAUCAAGAAUCUUUGAUUUGUGGAACUCAAUAGGACAGAAAUGUUGCUACUUGAGGCUUUCAUGAAAUGAGAAGUUUUUCAAUCAGGAAAAUCUGGCUUCCAGCAGCAGAGGGAGCGUAUAUGGACUAAGUCAAUCAGGUUCAAGACUAGUCAAUCAGGUUCCAAGUUUAAAAUUUCCCUAAUUCCCCUAAAUUUCACCCUGAGCCCUGGAUGCAGGAGACAGCCAGUCAACCUUGCUUCUAUCUUCUCAAAAGCUGGUUACCUUGGCUUCUGUGCUCAGUGGAGAGGGAGCCCUUGCUAGGUAAAGAUUUUGGUGACGCCAAGGGACAGAAAUAUCAUGACUGUCUGCCACAGGCACGGGGGCACCAUGGUCCCUGGCCACUGACCCGAAGCGGCCUCCCAGACCAAGCUUGUCUAGGGGUCAGCAGUCAGCUUCCUGUACCCUGCUGCUGCUCUCCAGGCUCCUCGGUGCCGUUUUCACUUCUGAGAGGAGAAACUGCUCCAGGAUAAGACGUCUUUAGGGUGAGUGACCUUGUUAAAAGGUGCCUGUGCUGAAAUUGUGCUGAAACCUCCUCAGGAUUGUUAGAUUCCCGCCCUAAGGGGAAUUUGCUUCCCUGGUGGCUCAGGCGGUAAAGACUCUGCCUGCCACUUAGGAGACCCGGGUU